CCUACGGGUGGCAGCAGUGGGGAAUAUUGGGCAAUGGAGGAAACUCUGACCCAGCAACGCCGCGUGAAUGAUGAAGGUCUUCGGAUUGUAAAGUUCUUUUCUAAGGGAAGAAGAAAGUGACGGUACCUUAGGAAUAAGCCUCGGCUAACUACGUGCCAGCAGCCGCGGUAAUACGUAGGUGGCAAGCGUUGUCCGGAUUUACUGGGUGUAAAGGGCGUGCAGCCGGGAAGACAAGUCAGAUGUGAAAUCCCGCGGCUCAACCGCGGAACUGCAUUUGAAACUGUUUUUCUUGAGUACCGGAGAGGUCAGCGGAAUUCCUUGUGUAGCGGUUAAAUGCGUAGAUAUAAGGAAGAACACCAGUGGCGAAGGCGGAUGACUGGACGGCAACUGACGGUGAGGCGCGAAAGCGUGGGGAGCAAACAGGAUUAGAUACCCCAGUAGUC
rnacentral:rRNA from 1 species